AAAAUUUUCCCGCCUAAUCUCCCUGUUCUAAGAUUCUCAGCUCCAGAACUACAAGCACUAAAACCUAAUCCUCACCACUCCACACUACCACACUUCUCUCGCCCCCAUCGCCCCAAUUCCGGCCACCGUCACCACCAGAUCCACAACACCACCUUUGUUGCCUCUCUCGCUAUCACAGCAGAGCUCCUCCACUCCACCAUCACAUCAUCAACAACUUCUACCCGAUUAUUCUUUCUUUUUCAUUGACGCUUGGACUAUUGUAUCUACAGGUUUUGUGCUUUUUGAAGUAAUUUCGGCCAUUUCUUCAAAAUAAUAAUGAUGGUGACUCUUUGCUUGAUUUUUCAGCAUCAAGCAAAAGGUGUAGACCAGAUGAUGGAAGUUGAUAAUGGAAGGGAUGACAUGUCGAUCGAUGGCCAAAGCCUGGGAAAUGGUGUCCCAGGUGGAUUUAAUGCUAGCUAUCUUAAACUUUACUAUGGAAAGCUUUUCCCUUAUGCUGAUAUUUUCAAAUGGCUUUCCUAUGGAAAUGAUGGGAAGCAUCCUGCAUGUGACAAGUCCUACUUUGGUCGAAGAGAGUUCUCUUUCACGCUGGAUAAUGACAUUUAUCUGCGGUUCCAGUCUGUCAACAAUGAGUUUGAACUGGAGAAUACCAUAAAAGAAAAAUGUCCAUUUAAAAUAGAUAUUGGCCCUGUUUACAGUGUGGAUCCUGCAAAGAGGCAUGCCUAUUCCCAAAGUGGUGAUAAUGUUUUUACACCUGUGGAGAGGGAGCUAAUUUUUGAUAUUGAUAUAUCAGAUUAUGAUAAUGUUAGAUAUUGCUGCUCAGGAGCUGAUGUUUGCUUGGACUGCUGGCCUCUAAUGACUGUUGCUAUUAAAGUGAUUGAUGCUUCGCUCAGAGAUGACUUUGGUUUCAAUCACAUUCUCUGGGUUUUUAGUGGUCGACGUGGUGUCCAUUGCUGGGUUUGUGAUGGAAAAGCAAGGAGGUUGACCAAUGAACAGAGGGCAGCUAUUGCUGAUUAUUUCCGAGUAUACAAGGGCAAUGAAAAUAGUAAUAAAAGGGUUUCUCUGACUGGUCCUGUUCUUCAUCCUUUCCUUGUGAGAUCUUAUACUGAAGUUCUCAAGGACUUUUUUGAGACAAAAUUGCUUUCCAGUCAAAAUCUAUUUUCAACUGAAGAGAGAUAUGGGAAGAUUUUGGAGAUGAUUCCAGAUGAAUCUGUUACUUCUGAGCUUCAGGGAAAGUGGCAGAAUAAUAAACGAUCCUCCAUUUCAAAAGAAGACAUUAAUCUUGUUCGAUGGGAGCAGCUAAAGCAUUCAUUACAAUCUGGACAAAAGAAGGCACAAGGACUUCGUAGAUGUGUUGAAGAGAUUGUGUUCUCUUUUACUUAUCCUAGGAUUGAUAUGGAGGUCUCAAAACACAUGAACCAUUUGCUGAAGGCACCUUUCUGUAUUCAUCCAAAAACAGGACGUGUUUGUGUACCUAUUGACCCAAAACAUUGUGAAGAAUUUGAUCCUACUGUGGUACCAACACUUUCCCAGCUUUUGGAAGAACUUAACAUGGGAGGAGUUGGAGCAGAUGAUGACAAAGAAUGUGAUAGAACCUCGCUUGGAAAAUCACUCAGCUUUUUCAGAUCGUCAUUCUUGCGACCUCUUCUAAAAUCUUGCAAGGAAGAGAUGGAGAGUUUACAUAAUGCGAAACUGCAGCAGUCAAAGAAUUCACUGAGUUGGUAAAUGCUUUCCCAAGUCAUUUCAUCUUGUAUGGAGAAGGUCCUGUUGCAUGUUGCUCUGCCCAACGAUACCAAACAGUAUAUAUAAUUAUGUUGCAGUUUAACUUAACGUAUAGAUGUCUUGCUUUCUGCUUUUCUGUAUAAUCAUUAGCACCCCAUGUGACCUGAUUUCUCUGUUUUCUCUAUAUACCUCAAACUGUACGUACCAUUCAAACCAUGAACAACAAUGGAUGUUGGUUGCCUUUCCUUUUCCAUUCUAGUGAGCACGGCCAAGAAGCACAAGUUACACACACCAAGUGAAUUUAGCAUGGUUGGGAGAAGGAAUUGCAUAAUUAGCACUUUCUUGUGAUCUUCUAAUGUGAGAGAUUGCUUGUCAAAAUUUGCAUCACCUAAUUUUCUUUUCAUUUAAAUAUUGAAUGUUGGACAUCUACUUUAUAAUGUAAC
rnacentral:misc_RNA from 1 species